UACGUAGGUGGCUAGCGUUGUCCGGAUUUACUGGGCGUAAAGAGCGCGCAGGCGGUCGUUCAAGUCGAGUGUGAAAGCCCCCGGCUCAACUGGGGAGGGUCACUCGAUACUGAUCGACUCGAAGGCAGGAGAGGGAAGCGGAAUUCCCGGUGUAGUGGUGAAAUUCGUAGAUAUCGGGAGGAACACCGGUGGCGAAGGCGGCGAUCUGGGUCGAUACUGACGCUGAGGUGCGAAAGCGUGGGGAGCAAACAGGG
rnacentral:rRNA from 1 species